UACUUUGCGCAGAGGCGGUGUCGUACCCGAUGAAGUGAUAACUGAGGGGCGACUAUUGCUAGUUGAAAACUUUUUUUUACUUUCACUUCAUAAACUUCUCUUGAACCGAAUAGAGGUCUUCGAUACAGUCAAGUCU